rnacentral:lncRNA from 1 species
AAAAUUCACAUAUUAGUUAAAAUUCACAUAUUUAAGAUUGACUCUACCUUAAAAUGAAAGCCAGUUCCUAGAAAGAUGUUGCAUCUGCUGAUGGAGUGCUAGGCUGAAUGACACAAGUUGGAAAAUCUAAAUGAGAAUUAUAUUGGUCUCCAUUAAAAAAAGAUGGAAACUAGGGUGGAUGAGUAGCAAUACAAGAAGAGGCAAAGGCUGGAGCGAACACGGCUGGAGAAGUGGCAGAGUAAAUGACACUAGGGCAGAAAGGGGCCAUGAAGAGAUCAUCAAAUAGGAAUGCUGGGGACCUUAGAUCGAAAACAUUAGAUAUCCUCAAUUUGUUAAAUGUCUCUAAAUGGAAUUUUAUGGUGUUUGGCCACGGGGUGUAUGAUGUACAAUUCUUCUCAAUUUCUGUAUGAAAGUAUCAGUAAUUUUCCGAAUACACGUUUAUUUUUUUUCGGAUCCCCCCAAAGGAAUUGAGCUGAAGAGGAGCCUGUGAAAAGCCUUCAACUGGAGAAGGGGAUCCUCAGCAGAGCCUUGGGCUAGGAAACAGGAUGGUACCGGCCGGAAGUGUAGGAAGGACUAACAACCCCAAGAUUGAGAAUGUCUAUAAAUGUCUUGAAACUGUAAGCAAAAUGUCAUAUAUAUACUCAUCUGUGCAUUUCUCUGGGGAGAGUCUGCAGCUUUCAUUAGCUUCUCAGAGUGAUCUACGAGACAAAUGAAGCUUUCACACUUCAUCAUCACCUUUCCCUGCACGGAAAGAGGCAAGAUUUAACCUGCCUCAACUCCAACUCCAACUCGUGACAAUCUUUCACUACUGCAAAUUAUAAAAUUCUUUUCAUUUUCCUUCGUUCAGAUUUUAAAGUUAUAGAAUAUGACUGGUCCAGCUUUUUUGCAUCAGGCCAAAGGUGAUAGGAUUGCUGCUCUUAAGUCAGGAGGAGCUAGCAAGGGGAAUGGUGACCGGAGGUAAAGCAAGGCUGCCUAAGUAGGAGGUCAGGGAGAAGGUUUCCCUUAGAAGGGAUGUAGUGUAGAUGGGAUGGAAGGUAAAGGCUUGGCCGAGGCAGCAUGACCAUUACCCAUUAAGGAGGAAUAGACUCUGUGUCUGGCACAUUGGCUUAGGUGAUAAGAGCU